CUGAGCUACACUUGUCUCAGGUCUCAGGUGUCAGGCUCUGGAGCACUCAGGCUGACUCAGAAACUGACUCUCGGGGGAUCAAAAAAGGAGCAACUGUUCAAAAAUGAUGGAUCCCAUUUUUCAAGACUUGCCAUGCCACACAAGAUGAGACCCCACCGAGACAGGCUCUAACAGGCAUCAGGAAAAGAGGAUGCAGUGUGUUUCUUCACAGGGUCAGACCAGGGAGCUCCAGCCGGCCGGAGCUCCAGGUGCAAUUUUGAAACAAGAUUCUCCUUUCGGAAGGGCAAUCGCGAAUAUAAAGUGAUGAAUUAGUAGCAGUGUCAAGAGUGAAGCCCCGAGGCGAACGCCAACUUCUACAGAAAAGGAGGUGGAAUGGCAGGUGCCGGGAAUCAUACAGAUUGAGGGAAGGCGACAACCGGGAGUGUGUCCUGACUCCUUCGCGGGGGCGGAGGGGAGACAGAGCCCGCGGAGAGUGGACAGAAUCCUCAUGGGUUUAGGAAAACAAAUGUCUAGCUCACAUUCAGGUCACGUUCUGGAAAUGGAGAAGUGCAGUCAUUUUUAUCUGCAUUUGCAAUUUAACUCAAGUGAUUUGAGGUACCGUCCACUCAGUCCAAAAAAAUCCCAACCAGAAGCAGUGUUAGUAAAAUGUGGAGGGGGGAAGGGGUGCCGCAAAGGGAUGCCCGCUUUUUACGUGAAAUUAUUUAGGGGUAUUUUAAUAUGAGUUUUAGACCGGAACCAUUCUUUUAAGCUGUAAUCACUAUCAUUUCAUUUAUGAGAGUCAGAUCAUCUCAGUGAAUGAUGUUGAAUUUUUUUUUCUAAAAGAUGUUAAGGGUUUCUCUCAGCAGAUACACGGGAGGAGCCGUUUCCAGGAGAGUCAUUUCUGCUUCCCCCAAAGACAUUCUUCCCUGGUCCCACAGACGCUUGGUUUCGUUUUCAAGGUGCGUUUGCAGGGUUGGUGCAAAGCUCACAGCUGCCACGAAGUGACUGAUGACUCUGUAAAUUCUCCUGAGCGCAAAGAAAAGCUGGUUCAUUUAUAAAAAGCUCAACAUAAUUAUAAACUCCACUGCAGGUGGGAAACUUUUAUAAGACAAAAACUAGCGAAGCACAGACGCCUCUCGGAAAGCCCCGAGUAGUAAGCAAUCCUCUAGUGACUUGUCACUCAAAGCUGACCUGCACUCGGCAUGAUGUCCUCCUGUCUUCACGGGAAAAUGGAUGGAGUGAAAGGCAAGACAGAGCCCAUACUUCCUUGCAAGGGAUUCUGGGCAAACUCAGGGGCUGCUUCUGCCUCCAUGAAAGGCCAUGGGCACGAGGCCAGGUUGAGGAAACCUGCUACAGUACCCCUGGGCUGUGCUAAGUACCCCUAGGCUGUGCUUAGUACCCCUGGGCUGUCCUAAGUACCCCUGGGCUGUGCUAAGUACCCCUAGGCUGUCCUAAGUACCCCUGGGCUUGCUAAGUACCCUUGGGCUGUGCUAUGUACCCCUAGGCUGUCCUAAGUACCCCGGGGCUGUGCUAAGUACCCCUGGUCUGCCCACUAAUUCCUUGCCAAUACUGGCCUGAGCACCGUCCCUGAACUGGGUGCAGAACCAGGAGAUGGGUUCAGUCCCCAUUUACAGGUGAUAAAACCAAGGCUUUCGAGAGGUUAAGUAAUUCGCCCAAGGUUCUGGAAAAGCUGGAGCUCAAGGCAUUUGUUUCUGACCCCUGUGCGCCAUUAUGUCCAAGGGGGAAGAAAACUGUGAGACGUGCGAAUUCUGUCCAACUUCCGCAGAAUGGCUUUCCCUUCCCUGAAGUGUGCAGGCAGGCCCGUGCUCCCAGCCCUUCCUGGUCUGUGUGACACAUCUGGUUGGUUCUGGGGAUAGGAUUAGGGAUCUCACUAUUUCCACACACUGAAACCAUGUUCUGCAACAGCUCCAUCAGUGAAAACAGCUGAUGCGUUGGGGGGCAGGGGGUUGAUCUUGGUUGAGGAUGCUCUCAAGUAUCCUGGCCUGAUGAGGACCCCUUUCUCUUUCUUACCCCCCGAUGGAAUCUGAGAAUCUGGGUCUCCUUCUCACUCUGCAGGGGACUCCUGUCCUCUCCCUUCCCUUCCUUCUUUCCUGAGGAGCUCUGGAGUGGCCGCUCCACAGCUGUGGGCCCAUGCGCGGAUGGGAGAAGGGUUUCCUGCAUCCCCAGUGGGAACAUCGAUGGGUCUUCACAUAAACUUGCGUGAAAUGUUGCCUCCUGGCGUUCAAAGUUCUGAGACUGUCAGUUCUUCAAGCCUCAGAGUCCCCCAGAGGGACGGCCAGGAAGCUUUCACUGGAUGCUCUGAGGACUUCGCCUGGGACCUGCCUUCUGGGGGUAAAUGUAUCUGAGGUCAAGCAGCUCACCCCUGGGCCUGGCCACCAACCUGCGCACAAGAUGGGACACAUCCGUAUAGAGAUUCACAUUAAGCCCUCCGGUCACAGGGAUCCGGGGCAGAGGGUUGAAAGCACCCCCCGGCUCAGGUUUAGUUAGGGAACGACUGAUUCUUUUGGACACGGCUGCUGUUGAUCCUGCAGAGGAAGACCGAGCCCCGUCACACAGAUGCGGCUUCGUUCUUUGUGAUAGGAAAGAUAGUUCAGAAUCUAUGAUUUCCAGAAAAAACUUCAUCAUCGAAGACAUAAAUAAUUAAACUGACUCAUUUAAAAUCUCCCUCCUUAUCCCUCCCACGGGAGGUGGAUUCUGAAGGCGUCGAGGGUGACCGUUGGUAGGAUUUAAGGGUGAAGAAGAGAUCACAGUCGGAGCAAUCCAAAGAAGAGUCAAGUGCCAGCUGCCUAAGAAAGAGGAGAGAGGCCCAGAGGGCAGGACCCGAGUCGGGUGAAGGGGCAGGGACGGAGAGAGGGAAUCGGGAGCUGAAGAGAGAUGUGCUGGGAGAGGCUGCCUCAGGGCGAGGGGGCGCAGGAGGAGGACAAGGCCCAGGGGCCUUUGCACAAGACUCUGCUGGGCAGGUGUGACGUCAUCUCCUCUCCAGCAUGGUUGGAGGAACGCAGAUGUUCUCUUACUGCUCAGUGCACGCUGCAGGGCUCUGAAUCCAGCUCGGGGGCAGGCCCCAGACUGGGCCCCUCCUCACAGCUUCUCUGGCCACUUUCCAGUUACAGUCAAUAUGAAUAGAUUAGGCAGUUUCACCACCUGCCCCAAAUUCCUAUUUUUAAUAAGUUAAACUGGAGCAUCUUUAAGAAUUUCAAAGUCUCUAGGAAUUUAAAUGUAUUAAAUGUAUACUUAUGCAAAUACAUUCAUACAAGUAAAUGUUAUUUCUGUAUACUACAGAUCUAAUGAUGAUAUUGGCUACAUGAUUUUAGAUAUUGAAGAUGAGGGGGUGUAUCAGUCAGGACUGGCUAGGCUAUGCUGCAGUAACAAAUACCACCUCCCAUACCUCAGUAGCUUAUGUCCACAAAAAUUUAUU
rnacentral:lncRNA from 1 species